AUCGCUUCUCGGCCUUUUGGCUAAGAUCAAGUGUAGCAAACUUCCUGAGCUCUGUCGUUAGGUUUUUUUUUGGGAGGGGGGUUGUUUUUAAUCUUU
rnacentral:snRNA from 1 species